ACACCAGACAUUACUCAGCUCCCCACCCCUGACUUGAGACCUUCCACUAGCUGCCCCUUCCCCUAAAAACAGAGUGAUGUCAUAAUGGUAUCAGAAUGGCACCUGCUGACAACAACACAGAGAUAACAAGAGCAGACUUUCUGCAGUGCCUCCUGAGCAAUUGGUUGUCAUUGUCCUAAACAGAGCAGCUAGGUUAAAAAGAUUUAUCCAUAAUGUAACCUCCUGGCCCUCAGCUAUGGGUGGAAGCAGCACUUUCUGGUUUGACUUCCUAAUACCACAGACUCCACUUUGCCAGAAAAGUGACUUCUUGAUGAAUAGUCUGUUCAGAUAGGCCAAUUUGGAGUAUAUUCACAUUUGGCCACCUGCCGGAGCGUCAACGACCAAGAGGAGACCAGAUGAGUUUUCAAAGCAGUCCUCAAACACCCAGGACACACCUCAUCCUUUGCCUCAUGCUUUCUGCAAUGUUGCUGUUCAUGUUCAUCUUCCUAUUAACAUUUGCCAUAAUAACCCCUCAUUGACCACCAUCAUUCCUCCAUCCACCAGCCACUCAGCUCCUUCUCUAAAGUGCCCUCUAAUGGGCAGUGGCUUUGGUCUCUGUUUGGCAAAUUAUGUCCAGAGGGUUAACAUUAAUUUCUCUUUCUCCUAUUCCUCCCUCAUGCUAGACUCAGUCCAACACUCGGCCCCCUGUCAGGAAAGCCAUAGCAAAUCCUACUUUCUGCUAAAAUGAAGUUACAAGACACUUUUCCAGAGUAGUCACACUCAAUGAAGGGACCCAGGGAGUAUCGGAGUGUGAUGUAAUUGAAACCACAUGGAAAGACUAGAAAUACCUUGCUCCCAGUCAGAUAUAGUGAAACAGCUUACUCAAGACUGGACUAAGAUUUAGAAUAUAGGGGGGUUAGGGAGGAGAAAGAGAAAGAUCCUCAGAAGUGGAUUGUCCCUGAAUACAGGAUGAAAUCAUCUAGAUUUUUUUCUCCAAUUAAAUUUGCAUUUCAUUCAA